AGAGUGAGAAAGAUGAGAGAUAUGAAAAUAAAGCUCUUAGGGAUAUAUAAAAAAAAAAAAAUAAUAAUAAUAAUAAGAAGCUCUUGAUUAUGCAACAAAGAACCUUCCCCCUAAUAAAAAAAAGAAGAUCAAAAAGAAGUUGGGGAAGGAAAUGAAAAAGGGUUAGAGCUUGUGGAAAGUGGAUUAAAAUCCCUAGUGAGUGGGUCAAAUAAAAAAAAAAAGAGUUGUACAUUGGGUGAGUGAUGUGAGGGGUUUAGAUUGAUUUUUGAGAUGAUGAUAAAGAGGGUAGAACUUGUGAUCA
rnacentral:lncRNA from 1 species